rnacentral:rRNA from 1 species
GAUGAACGCUGGCGGCGUGCCUAAUGCAUGCAAGUCGAGCGAAUGGAUUAAGAGCUUGCUCUUAUGAAGUUAGCGGCGGACGGGUGAGUAACACGUGGGUAACCUGCCCAUAAGACUGGGAUAACUCCGGGAAACCGGGGCUAAUACCGGAUAAUAUUUUGAACUGCAUGGUUCAAAAUUGAAAGGCGGCUUCGGCUGUCACUUAUGGAUGGACCCGCGUCGCAUUAGCUAGUUGGUGAGGUAACGGCUCACCAAGGCAACGAUGCGUAGCCGACCUGAGAGGGUGAUCGGCCACACUGGGACUGAGACACGGCCCAGACUCCUACGGGAGGCAGCAGUAGGGAAUCUUCCGCAAUGGACGAAAGUCUGACGGAGCAACGCCGCGUGAGUGAUGAAGGCUUUCGGGUCGUAAAACUCUGUUGUUAGGGAAGAACAAGUGCUAGUUGAAUAAGCUGGCACCUUGACGGUGCCUAACCAGAAAGCCACGGCUAACUACGUGCCAGCCGCCGCCGUAA